CUCGCGCACGAGCCGCGGUCACGCGAGGUGAAUUUAGCUUUCGACACUUGUUGGAGCUUUGCUGGUGUCGUUGGACUUUCGGGCUGGGUUAUGAUGGAAGCGACGUAGAGGCGCGGAACAAUGGGGACCAUAAGAGAAUAGCUGCGCUGCCUCGAGGCGGCCACACCUGACGGCCGGUGAUAUUGUCUGCGGCUGAUAUCGCGAAGUCGAUUUGUUGAAGUUUGGAUCGUUUCGAGAAAGAAUUAUUGUUAUUAACGACGCGGAGGUUGAACAAUAAGCGUAACGGACGAGUAAUUAAAAAGUUGAAUUUUAA